rnacentral:misc_RNA from 1 species
AGCAGGUGUUCUGUGGCAGGUGUUCUGUGGGCACAUGUAAAGAGUGCGCAGCGCGCCCGCUCGAGCUAGAGCGCAACCAGUACACAUCGUGUGAGAAAACCGUGUCCAAAUCAACAGAGGCUAAUAUAGUCCCCAAGAUACACCAUGUAUCGACGCAAAUUGAGAAACGAAUUCAAGGUUUCUACAACGCCUGCCCACCAGCGAAUGUGCCACAGCCAAUCAAAGAGUGCCAACCUCAGCAGAAGCAGUUUCCAGAGAGAGGUUACAAAGCAGCAUCCUCUGUAUUGUAGAGGACCAAGAAUAGCGACUCCAGGAACCUGUGAAAGUCGUGGAAGGUGCCAGUGCAUAUGCAAAAGAGGCUGCUGACAAAACCACAUGGUGUGCAGGCAUCUAUCAGACCAACAUGUACUCUCCAACGGUCUCCUGUUGGAUGCAAUCCCACGAUCUCGAAGACAGCGACAAUAUUUCUUGAUCGUCGGAACCGCUGUCCCAAGGUCAACGCCUCUAGUCUUGGAAUAUCCAACACGGACCAGCAGUCGAAUGGAGGAAUAUUGAAAUGGUGAUGGCAUCACAGAUGGUGAUGAUGAGUGCAGACUGACAGCAAGCUCACCUUUAAUGAAGAAGGAGAGAAAAAGGCCCUGCCACAGUCAAUCGAGAGCCCGCACUUGUCAUCGUCAGUGAUAGCGCACUGUGCUCAUGGAGGUUUCAAGAUCUGGAGGCUUUGAACUUAUGACAGUGCUGUGACCUUUCCAAUGCAACCUGUGCCUACAGACGAUUGUAUAUUGAAAUAGUCUUCUCGCGUUUUACAUUGACACAGCCUAAGGAAAAGUGCCGAUUCUGCGAGCACACACUUGCUUGCAAUGGUCCUUUUCAGCAAAUAAUUAGCAAAUAAAUGAGUCGGAAGCUCGCAUCUAUCGGUAGAUUGCAUGGUGUUGUGUCAGAUUUCUUGCUCUAUUUUCGAUAAAAUUAAUUUUGCCAUUCUUUCAACCCGCAAUCCUGCCUUGCAAUCCUUUCAUCCCUCUUGACUAGCCUCAGCUGGUCUCCGAGUGCAGGACUGGACUGCACUGCCUUUCACAUAAAUCUGCUGAUAAUCUCUUCCUGCCCUUCGGUGCUAGCUGUGCAUUCCCAUGUGCUGUGGUUCGGUGUCAGUGUGCUCUCACUCCGCCGGCAUAUGUAUUCGUAUUCUGUUGGGUAAUACGUAUGUAAUCUGUGGAUGUUUGUGUGUCUGUAUGGUGCCAACGCCGCAGAAUCCACGGCCGAAAGGUACUUGUGUGGUACUGGGUGGAGCCUCAGCUAUUCUCAGUAAUAUUGCAGGAUCGCCUUUUAACUGUGAUCGAUGGUCGUUAGGUUCUCCACGGUGUUAGACUGAAGCGUGCAGAACUUUAGCAUUGAGAAGCCGAAGCUAGAUCGCAUUCAUUGCUUCGCCUCUUUGGCGAAACUGUGACUUUUUUUCUCGAAUACUAACCACCUACGAUAUAUUUUAGCAGUCCAUUGUACAAUUUUAUGUGCGGUACUUCUUGUAGGAAGUUUUAUUAUGCAGAAGCGAUACACUCAAACCCCGAUAUAACAAUCCAGGAUAUAACAAAUUAUAGGUUAUAAGGAAGUAGAUGAAAAAUAGUCUUGCCAUAGAUAUAGUGUUAGGAAUAAACCUGCAUAACGAAUGUUUAGAUAUAACAAAUUUAUUUUUGUAUAAGAUGCAACUUUGUUAUAAUGAGGUCUGGGGUAUGAGACAAGGGGGCAUUAGAUUUAUGCGGCAUGCAUAAAACAUGACGAGUUAAGCUAUUAAUUCAUCCACUUUUCUCUUGUGGUUACAGGCACCGUCACAUAAAAGCACAGCCUCAUGUGAUGCACCAGAAUGCCUUUAAAGUGCCUGCUGUGAUAACGUGAUUUUUUGAUAUUGAGGUUCUCCCCACCACAAACAUAGGCUCCAUAAAAACCACCCACCACCACUUGGCCAAUGCGGUGGGCGCACUGUGAGAAACGAGCCGUUUUAAUGGUCAACUAAGGUCAACACAUCCUUUGUUUUGUAAAAUGGUGGCUAACUUCAGAGGAAUACCUUCGAGCUUUCCAAACUCUGUAUAUUUACAAAUCACCCCAUGCCCCAUAGAAACGAGGAAAAAGGCAAGGGCAAGAGAUUUUUGGCUCACGCGCCUGUCAUCUUUGUAGAGGAAGCAUUGACUUAGAUUUAGGUGCAUAUGUGAAAGGACCACAUGUGGCAGAAAUUUCUGUACCCUUUCAUUCCGACGUCCCUCAUGAUUAUCUGGUUUUCGGACAUCAAACCCCAACAAUCAUAUUGUAUACUUGACUUAAUUGGUUGUGUCUGACAAGGUGCAUUGCAGUAUUUUCAGUCACCCUGUAGAUGCUGAUGCCUCCUUACUUUCAAUGGAUAGGGUUCAGGCAUACUUGUUCCCAGUUCAACUAGUGAAAUAGGGCUUUAAUGAUUAUUACGUUCUUGGAUGCUUUAUAUCAUGCUGCGAUCAGGUUGUAUUGCUGGCACAAUCAACUGCAGUUUUUCAAGGGAACCGUUUUGUGCAGCGUGACCAGUCUACAUUUUGUGAGAAGGGCAUGUCCAAAGCAACAAACGCUAACAUGACAUCGAUAGUUGGAUGGAAAUAUGUCUGAUCAAGAACAGACAAAGACAAAACAAGACAUUUCGGCCCCUGUACGGAAAGCUUGUUCACAGCGAAGAAAAAAUAAAACGAAAAGUUGGCCCCG